ACUUCCAUUGACAAUUUACCCUUUAAUAUUAUGAACCAUCUGAAUUUUUCAUGGGAACUAUUUAACUCUUCUUUGUAAACCCUAUAGAAAUAACAAGCUUGUAUUUUAUGAGAACAAUCAGCUGUACUUUUCAUUUACAGAUUACACUGAUCUUUACAAUAAAGCUUUUACCACUGCAUCUUCUUUAAAGGAUUUGAAAGACAUAAAGGAAACAGCAUUGGAAAUACUGAUUUAUCUUUUUCUUUAGGUGUUCAAAUGCUGAAUCACUACAAAAUAUGCACUAUGCUCUUCAACCUGCUGCCAAGGAGAGUGAGAAAGCAGGCUCCUUUCCCAUGUGUGUCAUCCUCCCAUGGUGUCUGCUCUACAAACAGCAUCGACAGGCUUGCAGGUGAACUCCUGUGUAAACCAAAGUUUCUGUCUUCAGUAAGCACAUGUGCAAAAGUUAACAUCUUGGAAGACAUGAAAGAGAACAGGACCUGUCCCUGCUCAAACUUUAAGGCAAAUAUCCCUUAUGAAGUCAUGACAAGAGAGACUGAGUUUCCAUAAGACCAGUGGGAUAAAAUAACAUAAUUUACCAUUUUAAGUGGUUCUGAAAACAGAGCUAAAUUCAAAGCAUUGAAGAAAAUCUUCUUGGUUUCAACUCUGGAGCUACUUAAAUUAUUCACUGUAAAUAUAUGAUCGUACUGAUUUAGCACUUUUGCUGUUCUUUGUGGUUUUGUUGACUGAGAUGACCUUGAUUUGCUGACUGUUCAAAGCACAGUUUUACCUAUUAAAUAACUUUCAAAUGCUCACCUUGGAUUUUGUAAAGGUAUUACUGACAUGCUCACA